AAACCAACAGGGAUUGCCCUAGUAACGGCGAGUGAAGCGGCAACAGCUCAAAUUUGAAAUCUGGCUCUUUUAGAGUCCGAGUUGUAAUUUGCAGAGGGCGCUUUGGCUUUGGCAGCGGUCCAAGUUCCUUGGAACAGGACGUCACAGAGGGUGAGAAUCCCGUACGUGGUCGCUGGCUAUUGCCGUGUAAAGCCCCUUCGACGAGUCGAGUUGUUUGGGAAUGCAGCUCUAAAUGGGAGGUACAUUUCUUCUAAAGCUAAAUAUUGGCCAGAGACCGAUAGCGCACAAGUAGAGUGAUCGAAAGAUGAAAAGCACUUUGGAAAGAGAGUCAAACAGCACGUGAAAUUGUUGAAAGGGAAGCGCUUGCAGCCAGACUUGCUUGCAGUUGCUCAUCCGGGCUUUUGCCCGGUGCACUCUUCUGUAGGCAGGCCAGCAUCAGUUUGGGCGGUAGGAUAAAGGUCUCUGUCACGUACCUCUCUUCGGGGAGGCCUUAUAGGGGAGGCGACAUACUACCAGCCUGGACUGAGGUCCGCGCAUCUGCUAGGAUGCUGGCGUAAUGGCUGUAAGCGGC
rnacentral:rRNA from 1 species